AUUCCACAUGCGGACACCGAACUCCGCAUUCGACGAAGAAACGCGAUUGGUGUCGAUCGCAGCCCUGGUGAUUCCGCAGCACGCAGCCGGAGCGGACGAGACGAACCGAGCCGCAAACUAAAACACAUGUUUUGACUGAUCUAUUCGGGAAGACUGGACGAGGAUUUGACCGACUUGAAAAAAAACACAGAGCGUGGGCGAGAGCGAUGGUCUUCAACUGAUCCGGUGUUAAUACGAGCUUGUCGCUAAAAGGUCUGACGGGGAGAGAGAGCUAGCGGCACGCAGCCGGCGAAUUCAAGCAGAGCCCAACGUAGCGUUAGCCUGUUAGCUUCUGGCUAGCAAGGAGAGGCGCUAAUUCGUCCGUUCUCGGCGUACACCUGCGUCCCACGCUGCCCCCGCGUGCAACUACCUGUCAGCUCGCCCGUGGACUUUUCCUCCGGCAUCUUUCUCCCGUGGUCAUUUUUUAUUUUUAUUUUAUUUGAAUAAACGCGUGGGAGAACGACGGGGUGGAGGGAGGAACGGGACUGUGCCCAGGUUUAAAGGUUAGGAGCAGCGGUAUCGAGCCGUGUCCUCGAGUGGACCGUUCGCCAUGGAUAACGCGCACACGAAGACGGUGGAGGAAGUUUUGAGCUUUUUCAACGUGAACGAGAGCACGGGUCUGAGCUUGGAGGAGGUGAAGAAACAGCGGGAGCGGUUCGGACCCAACGAAUUACCGGCAGAGGAGGGCAAAUCCCUUUGGGAACUGGUGGUCGAACAAUUUGAAGAUCUACUUGUGAGGAUCCUUUUGCUGGCUGCCUGUAUAUCUUUUGUGCUGGCCUGGUUUGAGGAGGGAGAAGAAACCGUCACAGCCUUUGUGGAGCCUUUUGUCAUCUUGCUUAUUCUCAUAGCAAACGCCAUCGUAGGAGUGUGGCAGGAGCGAAAUGCUGAAAAUGCCAUUGAAGCUCUGAAGGAAUAUGAGCCAGAGAUGGGGAAGGUGUAUCGGCAGGACAGGAAAACCGUCCAGAGAAUCAAAGCCAGGGACAUUGUCCCCGGUGACAUCGUAGAAGUGGCAGUUGGUGACAAAGUGCCUGCAGACAUCAGGCUGACUUCUAUAAAAUCCACCACACUGAGGGUAGACCAGUCAAUUCUUACAGGAGAGUCUGUGUCUGUGAUCAAGCACACAGAUCCGGUGCCAGACCCACGAGCCGUCAACCAGGACAAAAAGAACAUGCUCUUUUCUGGUACAAACAUCGCAGCCGGCAAAGCCGUAGGCGUGGUGGUGGCCACAGGCGUCAACACGGAGAUCGGCAAAAUCCGCGACGAGAUGGCGUCCACGGAGCAGGAGCGCACGCCCUUACAGCAGAAGCUGGACGAGUUCGGCCAGCAGCUGUCCAAGGUCAUCACACUGAUCUGCAUCGCCGUUUGGCUCAUCAAUAUUGGACAUUUUAACGACCCCGUCCACGGAGGGUCCUGGAUCCGAGGCGCGGUCUAUUACUUCAAGAUCGCUGUGGCUCUGGCAGUCGCUGCGAUUCCUGAGGGUCUGCCUGCUGUCAUUACCACCUGCCUGGCUUUGGGGACACGCCGCAUGGCCAAGAAGAAUGCCAUUGUCCGCAGUUUGCCCUCAGUGGAGACCCUCGGCUGUACUUCUGUCAUCUGCUCUGACAAAACCGGCACGCUGACCACCAAUCAGAUGUCUGUCUGCCGGAUGUUUAUUAUCGAUAAAGCGGAGCGGGAUCACUGCUCAUUGAAGGAGUUCACCGUUACCGGCUCCACAUACGCCCCAGAUGGAGACGUCUUUCAUAAUGGCAAGCCGGUCAGAUGCUCCCAGUACGAUGGCUUGGUUGAGCUGGCCUCCAUCUGUGCUCUCUGUAAUGACUCGUCUCUGGACUAUAAUGAGUCAAAAGGUGUCUAUGAGAAGGUGGGAGAGGCCACAGAGACGGCUCUGACAUGCCUGGUGGAGAAGAUGAACGUGUUUGAUACAGACAUUAAAAGCUUGUCCAAGGUUGAGCGAGCGAAUGCCUGCAACUCCGUGAUCAAGCAGCUCAUGAAGAAAGAGUUUACGCUGGAGUUCUCCAGAGACAGGAAAUCUAUGUCUGUGUACUGCACUCCAAAUAAAGCACGCUCCUCCGUUGGCAAGAUGUUUGUAAAGGGUGCCCCAGAGGGAGUCAUUGACAGGUGCACACACAUCCGUGUUGGCAGCAACAAGGUGCCCAUGACUCCUGGUAUAAAGGAGAAGAUCAUGUCUGUGAUCCGGGAGUACGGGACCGGCAGAGACACGCUGCGCUGUCUGGCUCUGGCAACGCGAGAUAACCCUGGAAGCAAAGACAGCCUUGUGCUGCAGGACUCCGCUCGCUUUGUGGAGUAUGAGACUGACCUGACGUUUGUUGGCUGUGUUGGCAUGCUGGAUCCUCCCAGGGCGGAGGUGGCGGCUUCCAUUAGGCUUUGUCGCCUCGCAGGCAUCAGAGUAAUUAUGAUCACUGGAGACAACAAGGGUACGGCAGUGGCCAUCUGCAGACGCAUCGGUAUCUUUGGAGAAGACGACGACGUCUCCAGCAUGGCGUUCACCGGCAGAGAGUUCGACGACCUCUCGCCCGUUGCUCAAAGAGAAGCCGUGAUCAAGGCGCGCUGCUUUGCUCGCGUGGAGCCGGCUCACAAGUCUAAGAUUGUUGAGUAUCUGCAGUCCUACGAUGAGAUUACAGCUAUGACCGGCGACGGCGUAAACGACGCUCCCGCUCUGAAGAAGGCCGAGAUCGGCAUCGCCAUGGGCUCAGGGACAGCCGUGGCCAAAACUGCCUCCGAGAUGGUGCUGGCCGACGACAACUUUUCCACCAUCGUAGCUGCGGUGGAGGAAGGCCGAGCCAUUUACAACAACAUGAAGCAGUUCAUCAGAUACCUCAUCUCCUCAAAUGUUGGCGAGGUCGUCUGUAUCUUCCUGACCGCAGCUCUGGGUUUCCCCGAGGCUCUCAUCCCCGUUCAGCUGCUCUGGGUCAACCUGGUUACUGACGGGUUGCCUGCCACCGCUUUAGGGUUCAACCCGCCCGACUUGGACAUCAUGACCAAACCUCCACGAAAUGCUCGGGAGCCCCUCAUCUCAGGAUGGCUGUUCUUCAGAUACCUCGCAAUCGGCUGUUACGUUGGAGCUGGUACCGUCGGUGCCGCUGCGUGGUGGUUCGUUGCUGCUGAGGACGGACCGAGGAUCACCUUUUACCAGCUGAGCCAUUUCCUGCAAUGUGGCCCAGAAAACCCAGACUACCAGGGUCUGGACUGCAAGGUGUUUGAGUCCCCUUACCCCAUGACUAUGGCCCUGUCAGUGCUGGUCACCAUUGAGAUGUGCAAUGCCCUCAACAGUGUGUCAGAGAACCAGUCGCUGCUCCGGAUGCCUCCCUGGGAGAACGUGUGGCUGCUGGGGGCCAUCUGCCUCUCCAUGUCCCUUCACUUCCUCAUCCUUUAUGUGGAGCCGCUUCCAAUCAUCUUCCAGAUCACCCCGCUCAACUUGACCCAGUGGCUCAUGGUGCUGAAGAUCUCCCUGCCCGUCAUCCUGCUCGACGAGCUGCUCAAGUUCGCUUCCAGGAACUACCUGGAGCGGACCAGAGAGCUGGAGAAGCCCGCCAGCUCCAAAGGCUGCUCCCUGUUUGCAUGUAUGGAGGGCAUCUCCUGGCCCUUCGUGGCCAUUUCCCUCCCUCUGGUCCUCUGGAUCUACAGCUCUGACACUAACCUGGCUGACAUGUUCAUGUCUUGACUGACUUAGCACAACCUCAACAGUUUCCAUCCCUCUCUCCUCUCCCCUCCCCCCACCCCUCACCCACUGCCAUCACCACCUCCUCUCCUUCUCUCUUUGCCUUCCUAAUUGUUCAUAACUAGCGUGCGCGCGCCGGUGUGUGUGUACGUUUGUAGAGUUAGGGUUGUGUAUGAGAGCGUGUGCGUGCGUGAAGCUGUGUGCACGAGGAGGACCGACUGUAACCCAUGAAACGCAACAAAUAAUAUAACUAGUUAACAUUUAAGUCGCCUGUUUGAGUUGGGUCAGUACUUGUGAACGGCUGAGGCUUUGAAGUGACUCCUGCAGCUUUGGACUUUGUUGCUGGUUUAAAAAGCAAGUAGUGUUGCCAGUUUUUUUUUUUUAUUAUUAAUAUUAUUUUGGUUAUUGUCAAUAUUGCCUUUAAGGUAUGUUUUUAAAUGUUAGGAUUAUCUGCAUUCUGUCCUACGUCACUACUGUUAUAGAGAAUUUUGUUUAGGUUCCCGUUCUCCUGAACACAAAAUUUGAAGAUAUCAAAUUAUUUGAUCUGUACAGAGAUUGAACACUAUUUUAUGCAAAAAAAAAAACACAACUUUUUUUUUUUUAAUGGCUUUGUAAAUUGUUUAACCAGUGUGGCUUAGAAGGUACCCGCCUUGAUUUAUUUUCUGUUUACCAUUGUGUCUUCAGUAUAAAUUCAAAACUCUCUGAGAGGACAAGCUCCAUUUGGCAGACGAGAAACGGGGGAAAGGUUUGGGAUGCUCGGCUUAAACAAAAAGGCGAAAAAAGAAAAGAAUCCAGAGAAACAAACAAACAUAAAAAAAGCUGCAUGUCCUGUGACCAAGCAUGAACUGUAUGUGGUUUCUCAUGUCUAAUUUAAAUGUGUACGCCCCCUCGUUAAAGCGUAAAGAGCUUUGUGGAUUUUUUUUUUUAUGAUAUUGAUUAAAAAAAAAAUUUUUUUUUUCUGCACUGGGCAGAGCACAGCUACCUCAAUAUGAUGAAAAAUGCUCUUUUUUUUUUUUUUUAAUUGUUUUGCUCAUCUCGAGAUGCUUUCCCUCAACACGUCUUGCUAAAAAGAUAACAUCUGAGGUGUGCCCCCCCUUUUUGCUUGUGCAGAAAAUGAAGAACAUCUUUCUUCCCCUUUAACAUUUUUUUUUUAAGGAUUUGUCUUGUUUGUAUUGAUUGUGACAUUCUUUAACUUAAUUUGCUGUGGAGACGGAGCUGGCUGGGGAUGCUGUUUGUUGUGACCAUCUCCAUAGCCUUUGAUUCAAAGGACAGUAAAAAAAAAAAAUCCUCAAAUACUAAUAUAAGUGCUCCAAAUGAACAUUAAUUGCAGAUUAAAACCAUGUUUUUUUUCUUUUUACAAAAAAAUACACUCGUAAUGAACCCUUUGAAUCAAGUGUUUUUUGUCUUUAUUUAUGUUUGGUUUUCAUUACAAUUCCUAAUCGGUGUUUUUGUAUUUGCUUAUUACUAUAAUAAUUUAAGCGACAUGAAUGCUUUAGCUUUCGUGACUCAAGAGUGCAGAUGUUUGGAUCGGAUCCUUUAAAUAAUCUGGAUUUGUGGCUAUCUUCCAUGUGUGAAAAAACCCAACUAAAGCAUGCUUUUAGGUAGAAACCUGGUUGUUCUCACUGCCUGUGUUUGUCUUAACAAACGUGUGCUUUUUCUCCUAAAAUGCCUUCCAUUGGCUCCCCUAUCAUUAGAGUUGGUUUUCAUGAAAGCUUUUGGCAAUCAGAGCAGAACCAGUAGUUGGGAAUCAUCUUACCACCAAGUGUGUGUGUGAGCUCACGCAUGAUAUCACUCACUGCAGACAGCGUGACGACCAGAAGCACACACGCACACGUGGGUAAAAUUAAAAAAAAAAAGAAAAAGGAAAAAAAAAAAUCAUGUUUUCAGAGUGUGUAAAAUUAUCCUGCUAGUUGUCCCUUCCCCCCCUGCUUCACCUCAUGACACAAAACAAUCACAUUCCCGCAGUGAGCCACACAUGCCUCUGCGUGCUAACGCUAAAUUAGGACAUUAAUCCAGCUUUAUGUGCAGGGGUGUCCUGAAAUAUCCUCUCCUGAACCCUCCUUGCAUGAAGAACUUCUUCCAUCGGUAGCUCGUCAGUCGCAUAGAUCAUUUUGCAGAAGAAAAUGUGGGUUGAAAGGUCUUUGCUUUGUACAUCAGUGUACAAAAAAAAAAAAAAAAAAUACAUUCAUGCAUGCGUUUCAGCUGUAUGUAGGCUUUACAAAUUUGUAUUUAUAGAUUCUAAUGUAUAAUACUCUAAUUACUUUUAAAGAGGGGUUUUAAGAAAGCUGAACAAGAAAAGCUGUAAAAUCACUUUCUAUUGUAACGGCUUGGGUCAUUUGCACAAUGUUGGACAUGGAUAAAAGAUUCAUGCUAAACUUGACUGUGCUUAACUUUAGCUUUUUGUUGUUGUUUUUUGAUAGUAUUUUGGGUUGUUUUUUUUGUUGUUUUUUUUACUUAUUUUCAUCCCAUCACUUAAUGUGAGAAUAUCUAUCACUCUGCCAGUUAAUUUCAUGAAUUAGCCAGUAGCGUUUAGGUUAACAGACUGUCGCUCAUUUCCCAAUGAACCUGCAAUACAGCUUGUUUGAUUUUUCUUAUUGCCUUGACAUUCCUAUAAUUAUUAUGUAUCUUUAUCAACUGCUGUAAAACUGUGAUUUAGUGUGAGGGAUCCGGUAUGGUCUCCUCCUGACACCCGGUUGAAGAACAAUAUUAACCAUAUUAUGUAAACGUCAAUCAUUACUGAAGGCUGAUGAUUGUACAGUACAUACAUUACUGAGGUUGUGGUUUCAGGUAAAUAAAAUAAUCUAGUAUUUGA